rnacentral:rRNA from 1 species
UACGGAGGGUGCAAGCGUUGUUCGGAAUUACUGGGCGUAAAGCGCGUGUAGGCGGUCAGGUAAGUCAGAUGUGAAAGCCUUCCGCUUAACGGAAGAAGGGCAUUUGAAACUGCUUGGCUAGAGUACGGGAGAGGAGAGUGGAAUUCCCGGUGUAGAGGUGAAAUUCGUAGAUAUCGGGAGGAACACCAGUGGCGAAGGCGGCUCUCUGGCCCGACACUGACGCUGAGACGCGAAAGCGUGGGGAGCAAACAGG